rnacentral:rRNA from 1 species
UACGUGGGGGGCAAGCGUUGUCCGGAAUCAUUGGGCGUAAAGAGCGUGUAGGCGGCUCGAUAAGUCUGCUGUGAAAGUCCAGGGCUCAACCCUGGAAGGCCGGUGGAAACUGUCGGGCUAGAGUCCGGAAGAGGCGAGUGGAAUUCCCGGUGUAGCGGUGAAAUGCGCAGAUAUCGGGAGGAACACCAAUGGCGAAGGCAGCUCGCUGGGACGGUACUGACGCUGAGACGCGAAAGCGUGGGGAGCAAACAGG